rnacentral:rRNA from 1 species
GAUGAACGCUGGCGGCGUGCCUAAUACAUGCAAGUCGAGCGAACGGACGAGAAGCUUGCUUCUCUGAUGUUAGCGGCGGACGGGUGAGUAACACGUGGAUAACCUACCUAUAAGACUGGGAUAACUUCGGGAAACCGGAGCUAAUACCGGAUAAUAUUUUGAACCGCAUGGUUCAAAAGUGAAAGACGGUCUUGCUGUCACUUAUAGAUGGAUCCGCGCUGCAUUAGCUAGUUGGUAAGGUAACGGCUUACCAAGGCAACGAUGCAUAGCCGACCUGAGAGGGUGAUCGGCCACACUGGAACUGAGACACGGUCCAGACUCCUACGGGAGGCAGCAGUAGGGAAUCUUCCGCAAAGGGCGAAAGCCUGACGGAGCAACGCCGCGUGAGUGAUGAAGGUCUUCGGAUCGUAAAACUCUGUUAUUAGGGAAGAACAUAUGUGUAAGUAACUGUGCACAUCCUGACGGUACCUAAUCAGAAAGCCACGGCUAACUACGUG